AUCGAUCUUUGUUUAAUUGGAGGCUUGGAUUGAACAGCUUGCGUUCGAGACGAAGACAUACUUGAAUAUGAUACACCUUCGUGUUUAGCGGAAACUCCAAAAUACCUAUUAGGUAGUAUGCAGGCUAAACCUUAUACUCCCACUCAAAAUUAUGAUCUGGAACAUAAUUCAGAAAAUAUUUCAGCAUGGAUACAAUUUUAUUCUUCCAUUUUUAAAGCUUAUUAAGAUGUAUGACAUUGGUUUUAUUUUAGAUGUCGUAGCGUAGUUAUACAGACUGUAUACAUAAGUGGAAAAGUAAUAUAUACAACCCCCCCCCCCCCUUUGCGAAAUACUCUUUGAACAAAUCAACCUUUCUGGAAAGCAUUAAAAAUUAAAAUGCAUUAUUACUCUAUAGAAAAAAAUUACAAGACACAGUGG